GAUGAACGCUGGCGGCGUGCCUAAUACAUGCAAGUCGAGCGAACAGAUGAGGAGCUUGCUCCUCUGACGUUAGCGGCGGACGGGUGAGUAACACGUGGAUAACCUACCUAUAUGACUGGGAUAACUUCGGGAAACCGGCGCUAAUACCGGAUAAUAUAUUGAACCGCAUGGUUCAAUAGUGAAAGACGGUUUUGCUGUCACUUAUAGAUGGAUCCGCGCCGCAUUAGCUAGUUGGUAAGGUAAAGGCUUACCAAGGCAACGAUGCGUAGCCGACCUGAGAGGGUGGUCGGCCACACGGGAACUUGGACACGGUCCAGGGUCCUACGGGAGGCACCAGUAGGGAAUCUUACGCAAUGGGCGGAAGCCUUACGGAGCAACGCCGCGUGAGUGAUGAAGGUCUUCGGAUCGUAAAACUCUGUUAUUAGGGAAGAACAAAUGUGUAAGUAACUAUGCACGUCUUGACGGUACCUAAUCAGAAAGCCACGGCUAACUACGUG
rnacentral:rRNA from 1 species